UACGUAGGGUGCGAGCGUUAAUCGGAAUUACUGGGCGUAAAGCGUGCGCAGGCGGUCUGUUAAGACCGAUGUGAAAUCCCCGGGCUUAACCUGGGAACUGCAUUGGUGACUGGCAGGCUUUGAGUGUGGCAGAGGGAGGUAGAAUUCCACGUGUAGCGGUGAAAUGCGUAGAUAUCUGGAGGAACACCGGUGGCGAAGGCGGCAUCCUGGACCGACACUGACGCUGAGGCGCGAAAGCUAGGGGAGCAAACGGG
rnacentral:rRNA from 1 species